UGGGGAAUAUUGGACAAUGGGCGAAAGCCUGAUCCAGCCAUGCCGCGUGUGUGAAGAAGGUCUUCGGAUUGUAAAGCACUUUAAGUUGGGAGGAAGGGCAGUAAGCGAAUACCUUGCUGUUUUGACGUUACCGACAGAAUAAGCACCGGCUAACUCUGUGCCAGCAGCCGCGGUAAUACAGAGGGUGCAAGCGUUAAUCGGAAUUACUGGGCGUAAAGCGCGCGUAGGUGGUUCGUUAAGUUGAAUGUGAAAGCCCCGGGCUCAACCUGGGAACUGCAUCCAAAACUGGCGAGCUAGAGUAGGGCAGAGUGUGGUGGAAUUUCCUGUGUAGCGGUGAAAUGCGUAGAUAUGGGAAGGAGCACCAGUGGCGAAGGCGACCACCUGGGCUCAUACUGACACUGAGGUGCGAAAGCGUGGGGAGCAAACAGG
rnacentral:rRNA from 1 species